UUCACCGUCUUCUCUUGUCAGGAGCAAGGCCGAGAACCUUCUUUCAUUUCACCAUCUCUGUAUCUCUCUAGCUCUUUACAUGAUGAACAGCCUACUUCUCUCUAAAAUUCUGGCUCGAUUUACCGUUUAAUUUUAACAUUCUGAGUGUAUAAUCAGUAUAUCCGUUCCAAAAUACCUGAUUUUGGAAUACAUCUUUCAAUCUGAUGUCUCAAGGAGACUAUUUGUAUAUGGAAUUUUGUUUUCCAGCUUCCGAGUUCAGAAAACCGACACUCGAACGGAGUUCGCAUCAACCAUUUCCGGCUUAAGGUUCCGACCCAGAGUUCAUCUCAAACUCGAUUCAGAUAAAGUUUAAGAAUACUCAACACGAUGCUGUGGUAAUAACACCUCAAGAACGUGUGAAGCCAAUUCUGCAAUUGUAAAAUCACAUACAAGGGAAGAGUUCUAUAUAACUAUCUGAAGAUUAGUUGAAGAAGUACAGAAGACUUUAGAUCAAAAAUGAAGUUUCAUCAUAUUUCAGAGGUGAUACGAACUGCAGAUAUGGUGAAGUUGGGAGGGGAUUUCUCCAUGGACACAGGCUUAUAUAGAAUGUAAAACUAUGGAGUUCAAAAUCUUGGAAGUAGGAAUGGUGCUGUCGACCGUUCAGUUUUCAAGAGCAUGUAUGUUUUCGAAGCAAUGUUUAAUAUGAACACUGUGUUUAGAAGUCUGUAAUUAGUAGAAGUCUAUUUAAUUUGAUCUAUUUUACUUGGUAUUGCCAAAAAGUAGCUGGCACAAAUAAAUUCCACGCGUUUAGCAUCAUUUAUUUAAAA